rnacentral:sRNA from 1 species
ACCGAAAGAAUGACAGGGGCGGGGGAACCACCUUUGGUUGUAAGGUCAACCUUGGGGUGAAGUCCUUCGAUAGCUCACGCUAUGAGGGGCCGAGUACACUCUCCACUCGAACCCGACAGCUUACUUCGCCGGCGUAUGGAGAA